AGCUGCUAUAACUGCAUUUCAUGUCUGACUGUACACUGCAUGUUUAAUUCUGAAGCAGAAGUGAAUUAGACCAACUGACUAUACAACCGGGUUGAGGUGACCUGUUUGCCUGGUCGCCACCGGGGCCUACCUGCGAUAGAGAGAGCCUGCGAUAAGAGAAGGGGCACGGUUAUACCACAGUCUGGGCCUUAUCUUUCGAUAAGAGAGGUUGUUGCACAGUUCAAGUGCUCUGAAGCUCAACGGUCAACUAUAGUGUUAGUCUGUGAGCAUUGUGCCCAGAUCGCUUUACCCUCUGAAUGGGUCAGAAGGCCAAAGGAGGAGGAUAAAGAACACGUUGACCCACGAUGACGUUCUGCAGACUAUGGAUGUUAUUACAGAAAAAAAAGGAAAGAAGGGCUCAUGGAUCUAUUCAGAGACUGGGUGGCCUCCUGUGUGUCUGUGCCACAGCAACUGGCGUGAAAGAGAACGAUACAGUCCAGCUACAGAGAAAUCACCUGCAGGGACUCGGAUCAUCCAUAUCCUCAAUGCUGCUGACAAGAGUUUUGUUUUUCCUUUUUGUGAGACACUGAGCCAAAGGUCUGACCAUCUGUUUCAUGUUAGCUGAAGACAUACAGUAAUGACCUGCCUGAGCAGGGAGGCUUUCAAAUGUCAGAUGAGAUAAGCAUUAUAAAAAUAAAUUAAGAAAUGCACUUAGGUCCUCAUAUUUUACAACAUUACAUUGUUCUGUUGUCUAGAAACAUCUUUGGUCUGAUUCCAGGCAGAGCUUUAGGACAAAGAUAAAUCAUUCUCUUUCACCUUGUUUUCCAGAUGCAGUUAAAAAAAAAAUGUUGUGUAAAAAAGCAAAUGGAUUUUGAAUAUCAAAAAUAAGUUGAUUAAAUGAAUUUCAGUUUCAUUGGAAAAUCAA